rnacentral:rRNA from 1 species
AUGAACGCUGGCGGCGUGCCUAAUACCUGCAAGUCGAGCGAACGGACGAGAAGCUUGCUUCUCUGAUGUUAUCGGCGGACGGGUGAGUAACACGUGGAUAACCUACCUAUAAGACUGGGAUAACUUCGGGAAACCGGAGCUAAUACCGGAUAAUAUUUUGAACCGCAUGGUUCAAAAGUGAAAGACGGUCUUGCUGUCACUUAUAGAUGGAUCCGCGCUGCAUUAGCUAGUUGGUAAGGUAACGGCUUACCAAGGCAACGAUGCAUAGCCGACCUGAGAGGGUGAUCGGCCACACUGGAACUGAGACACGGUCCAGACUCCUACGGGAGGCAGCAGUAGGGAAUCUUCCGCAAUGGGCGAAAGCCUGACGGAGCAACGCCGCGUGAGUGAUGAAGGUCUUCGGAUCGUAAAACUCUGUUAUUAGGGAAGAACAUAUGUGUAAGUAACUGUGCACAUCUUGACGGUACCUAAUCAGAAAGCCACGGCUAACUACGUG